rnacentral:lncRNA from 1 species
AGAACACAAUGUUUAUUUCUCAGUGGCCCAGCAGUGUUCCUGUCAUGGGCCUGGAGAUUCCUAGCAGACUUCUGUUCUGAUAUAGCUGCAUUGAGUAGCUGAAAGAUUGCAUAGGCAAGGCAAUGCUGCAAAUAAUUUUGUUUUAGGAAGACUAUUUUUCCUCCUGCUUGAGUUACUGAAGGCAUUUCUGUCUUAUUCUGACAGCAGGUUACCCAAAAGUUUUUUCUCACUGCUACUAUAAUAAGGCUGAGAUGAAGAAAUUGGACAUCAGUUGCCUUAGGCAUUCACUUGGCCCAGAAGGUAAAAAGUGGAGUAUGCUUAAUUCCCUUUUGGAGCAGCAAAGACGGCAUGGAAUGAUAGCAGAAAAGACAGAUGAGAAGUUGAGUGAGCUAGAAUUUAGAUCUGGCUUAUAGUAACUUCAGAGACAUUCAGUGUGGGCUGAAUUUAUUGCAAAACUUUGCCCAGCAGCACAACAAGGAGGCUGGUCACUGAAGGCUUCCUAGUUUAAUUUUUACCUGAGUGAGUUUGUCGCUACUUCCUAUCAGGCUGAAAUAUCUACUAGGCUAUUUGUAUCUUUGAAAUGAGCUCCACUUGCUUGAUUUCCCCUUUGUGGGGACUGACUUUCUAAAAUCUGAAGUAAACGCACUGUAAACUGGAGGGCCUGUGGAAAAGUGGAUUUCAGUUUCUUAACAAAAUACAUUAAAGGAUGCUAGAACAGUGACAGGUUUUCCAACAAAGUAAAAUUUUCUCAUAUUUUAAUCACACUCAAGACCAUUUUCUGUCCUUAGAUAUAUUUGAAUACCCUGUGUGAAGUUGAACUAUUUCCAGAGAAUAAACUAAUAAAUGUAGAUAACUGCAUACAAGUGUGGCUCAGCACAGAAAUGCAGGAGCUGAUAUUUGAAGCACAAAAUCAAGCGAGAAAAAGGAGGUGACAAGGAUGAAUGGCAGAAAUGGAGAGGCAAGGAGGUACAGAUGUUGGCAUCAGCUCAUAAAAGCAGAACACUGUGCUACUCUUCCUUGCAGUGUCCAAUCCAGCAGAUGUAUUUUGAUCGUGUCCUCCAGAUCAGGUUUCACAGAUGAGCCUGAGCAAUUACAAAUUCUCGGCAGGGCUUAAAAGUGAGCUACAAGUUCUGUAGUUCUGGCAUGUCACAUUGUAGGCAGACUGUGUAUCCUCAGAAGCAAGACCUACCCGCUCUUCUUCCAUAGCAUAACAGUCCCAGUGCCACAGGCCUAUGGAAAUAGUGAUGGGUCUUGAGGGAUGAAAAUCUAGUCUUAAUUGCCUGCCUCAGCAGUUGGCCUGAUUGUAGAUUUGGCAGGAGAGUUGUCCUGUUCAUGUUCCCACUCUUUUGAACUAUCUAUGCAGAAUGCAGGGAGGUUUUUUUCUGUGCUGUUUUAAGAUGCCAAAGUUCAGUUUUAAAAUGAAAGAGCCCAGAAGUUAGAAAGACACUGCUCUACCCUUGCCUCUCAAGCACUUGAAAUCUUGGAGAACUUGGAGAUGAAAUGAAGAAGGACAUCUAACACCCAUUGAAACAUGUAUUUCUUCCGUGAUUGCUUUAUUUACUUUAGUAAGAAGUGUACAGAAAUAAGAUAAAUUUGUUGGAAUUGAUUUCUGCAGAAGCCCAGAUCCUACCACUGUAGUGUGCUGAUGAAUGGGAGUCUGCAUGACAAGUUAUGAAAUGCAAUGAGGUGCACACAUGAUUAACUGUUGUUAAGCCCAUGGUCUGCUUAGUCUGGGCAGGUCAAACACUAGCUGGAACAGAAAAGCGAACCUUUGUGCAAUGAAUAAUAAAAAUACAGAAAACACAAGGUAAAGUUACAAGGUGAAGAAUUAGUGCCAGUGUUACCAAGCAAUGCACAGGUGACAAAUUAUGACUUAUGUUCUGUAGUCAGCAUACACCAACCUCACACCUGCAGGAUAGAAGCCAGAAGCUUCUGGGUAAGAAUUUUGCUAAUGUUUAAAUAUUUCUACUGCAUUUUUAUGCUAUGACCAUCAUGAGAGAGAAAGCCUGAGAAAAUUCAUGUUUGAUCAAUGUGAAGGGCAUACAGGAAAAUUAUGGGGUCUUUGUAUUCAGUAUGCCAGGCAUGGAAGCCUUGGGAAGAUUUGCUCCCAGUCAUGAGAUGCACUGAUAAAAGGCACAUAACAGUGUAGUUCAUGAUUUAUGAGAUUGAACUCUGAGUGAGAUCUUCCAAAAUAGCUAGCAGCAAAGUGUGCAAUCCUGUAAUAUUUAGCUAUUAAGCACUGUCCUUUUUUUGUCUAUCGUGGUAUAAUUUGCAUUUUGAUUAAACUAGCAAAAUAUUUUGCUAAACAAAAGAGCCUCUUAUUAAAUGUAAUUAUGUUUCAGGUCUAGGUGACUGUUUUUACUGAAGGAAAAAAAACACACUAAUUUCUCUUUACCUUUUGUAUUAUAAAAAAAAUAUGGUUACAGUAGCUGGAUAAAUUAAUAAAAACAGAUAACUAAACCAAUCAUGUUUAGUGUAACAGCAAAUUGCUAGGAGCUUAUAGUCUAGUCUAAGAAUUUCCCUUCAUGUUAUAGGCUAAUAUAAAUAGUCCUCCAAAAUGUAUUAUGUCUGUUUUUUUCCUGUCAUUACCCACAGAUUAAUACUGCAUUAAUAACUGCUACUGUAAUAUAAAAGACACAGGGUAACAGCUGGGAUAAAAUCAUCACAAAAGUCCAUGUUUUUGUUACCUGUUUUUAACAGGAGCUGGGAAUCUGUUUUGUUUUAAAGUGUAUUUUAAUUGCCACACAAAAUAGAAGUCUGGUAUUGAUUUGGGAUGUAUUUCCAGAUACUAAAACUGUGCUGCUGAUAUAAUCAGUUUUGAGCUGUUCUUUAGCUCUCUUGUUGCUUUAAUUACUUUAAUUAGGUGUACUUCCCCAGGUCUAAGAUAAGGUAGCAGUUGACUGAUGUACUUUCUCAUGCUGAUACUUAAAGAGAAAAGAAAAUUGAUUCGUUCUUCCUUUUCUUUUGUAUACCUUGCCACCUCACAGUGUGUGAUUAUAUCACCAGUUGGGACACGUGCUGGAGAGGAAUAAAGUGAGCUGGAGCCAGAUAAUAACAUUUUUCCAUUCACAGGGAGUGUGUGUAUCUCCUUGAGGAACAGAAUGCCUGAAAUCAUUGGAUUCCAGGGUAGCUCAGACUAUAUCAGACUCAAACGUAUGAUUGCAGCUCUUAAAGUGUAAUGAGACCCAACUGUACAGUGAAACAUUUCCAGACAUAUGUAUGUGAUACGGGAAGAGUCAGGUGCAAAAAUUUCUGUUGUCUAGUCAUAAGCUGCAAAAAAUUAUUCUCUGUAAAAUGUAAAAAUCCAGUGAACUCUAACGCAAAACUUUGUUUAUGUAUGUUCACAUCCACCACAUUUCUCUUUAGAGUUUAAAUAUCUUCAGAGUAAAAGUUGUGGGUUUGGCGUUGUUUUGGAUUUAUUUUUUUCACUGUUUCGUUUUGCUUUGUUUUUAAUAAUAAACACACACAAAAAGGACUUGAAUCCUCCUGUUCAGGAAAAAAAGACUUUUCAUGC